rnacentral:lncRNA from 1 species
ACUGAAAAAUGGGAUACCUUGUUAAACUCAAAGAAAUAAGAUUUAAUAAAUGAAUAAAAUCACAUUUUGCUUGAUACUUGCAUAUCUUUAUCUAUUUAAGGUGUAGGGGUAUAGUUGAAAGAACAAAUGUGGUUGACCUCAGACAGAAAAUUAGGUUUGACAUUGACUGGUCAAAGAUGACUCUUCCGGUUAAAACACGAAACGGGUAAAAUGUUGUUUUAAUUAUAUUUCUGUUGUAAAGAAAUGCAAAAUUAUAAUUUUUUUUUAUAAUUUUAGGAAACUAAAAACUUGUAGCUGUGAAAUAUGUAAAAUUGCAAGAACGCAGGGAAGAAUACCCAAGAAAAAAUCUGGUAUAAAGAGUUUUAAAACGGCAGUUGUUAGUCCGCGGUGUAGUUUUUGUCUGACUAAAGUUAAAAGAGGAUUGCAUCAUAAAUGCAAUCCAACAACGCUCAGAAAUAACAUAUCAGCUGCACCAGGAUAUCAAGAUGUCAAGGAACAAAUGGCUUCCCACGUUAUUAAAGAAAAGCUAUGCAGUGAAAGUGGUAACACCAUUUCAUUGAAGACAGGAGGUAGUAAGCUAAAAUUAUCUAUUGGAUCUGAGAAUACUCCAAAAACAACUAAUUUUACUCACAAAAAUCUUCUUUGUAUACAGAAUUCUCUUUCCUUAAGUAAUCAUCAAAUUAUAAAACUUGCUAAUAUGGUAAGGUAAAAUUACAAUACUAAUACAAAUUCUGCACAAUAAAAUGAUGCAAUACUUGUAGCAAAAUUUAGUAUUAAAAAAAAUUAUUAAUUACAGAGUUGUUGAAAAAAGAAGAAACGCUGUAGAACCUGGACUGAAAGACUGUGUCUCUGAUUUGGAUAGUUAUCUUCUCCCAUUAUUUACUGAAGAAAAUAUUUUAUUUGAAUUUAAAAAUAAAGAUAAAAUUUUGGAAUAUAAAAAUACUACAGUCGCGUACUGCAAUGAUGUUACUCUUUUGUUAAACUACUCCUGGAUCUUAAAUGUGUUGAUUCUAAGAAUCAGUUGUUUAAAAUUGCUGUUGAUGGGGGAAGUUAACAAUUUUUGAAAAUCACGGCAAGUUUGACAUAGAUCACCUUAAAACAAAACCCGUAACAGCUUGCAGGGGUUCAUAUAAAGAUGGUCUAAUAAAGAAAUUCAAAGAUUCGUCAGUAAAUGCUUCAUUUCUUCUUCUGGUAGCUCCAGAGAUCCCAGAAAGAUAUUUUAACAUUAAAAUAUUAUUUGAAAAACUAAAUCUUGAUAAAGUUGAGCACAUUGGGGUAUGCGACAUAAAACUUAGUCAAAUUCUGACAGGUAUAUCUCCAAGUAGCAGUUCGAUUCAUCCCUGCUAUGUAUGUGAGUGGGAUAGAAGAGAAGCUUGGAAAAAUACUCCAUACAGAACCUUUGAGAGCUGUCAAGAAAACUAAACAAAAUUCAAAGAAUCUGGUUCAAAACCUAAGUGUGCACAACAUUUUAAGAAUUAUAUAAACCCUGUAUUAGUACAUGGAAACCCCUCUGAAUUUGUUAUAGAUAGACUUGUUUUACCGGAGCUUCAUAUAAUAGAGGGAACAGUCAAUCAUGUAAUGGAUAACGUGGAGCAGAUUUGGUCGGAAAUGAGUAUGAAGGAGAUUUAUGAACAGUUGCAAAUUAUUAAGACUGGUCAGCAUGGUGGAAAAUUUAAUGGAAAUUCUUCUCGAAAAAUUCUUAAAAAGUGGGAAGUGUUUUAUGAUAAGCUGCCAAUUAAACUAAAGUCUUUUGGAGAAUGCUUAAGGUUUUAAAUUUAGUUGUUGAGUCUUGCUUUGGAUCCGGACUUAAUGAAAACUUUCAAACUAAUAUCGAAAAUUUAAAAGCCUGAUAUAAAGAGUUUAUGUUAGAACAUGGUAUUACUUGAACACCAAAAUUCCAUAUUCCGUUCAAUCAUGUAUCUGAAUUCUGUAAAACAAAAAAAAUGGGCCUUGGAGUUUAUUCGGAGCUAUCUGGAGAAAGUGUUCACUACCUUUUCAAAACUCUCUUGGAACCGCUACAAGGUGUCUGCAAAUAAUUCUAAUUAUGGACAUAAUUUAGUAAGGGCAUUAAGUUCUUAUAAUGGAAAACAUCUUGUUUCUCUUGGAAAUGUUAAUCUAAAUGUUGAUAUUUUUUAGUGAUUCAAUUCGAGAAGUAAUAGUUAGUAAAUUUAUUUUGUAAAUAUAUGUUCGUUUGAUGA